rnacentral:rRNA from 1 species
AAUGAACGCUGGCGGCGCGCCUAAUACAUGCAAGUCGAGCGAGAAGACGUAGCAAUACGUUUGUAAAGCGGCGAACGGGUGAGGAAUACAUGGGUAACCUACCCUCGAGUGGGGAAUAACUAGCCGAAAGGUUAGCUAAUACCGCGUACGCUUCUUGGACUUCGGUUCAGGGAGGAAAGCGAUACCGUGGGUAUCGCGCUCUUGGAUGGGCUCAUGUCCUAUCAGCUUGUUGGUGAGGUAACGGCUCACCAAGGCUUCGACGGGUAGCUGGUCUGAGAGGACGAUCAGCCACACUGGCACUGCGACACGGGCCAGACUCCUACGGGAGGCAGCAGUAAGGAAUAUUGCGCAAUGGGCGAAAGUCUGACGCAGCGACGCCGCGUGGGGGAUGAAGGUCUUCGGAUUGUAAACCCCUUUCGGGUA